CCGUACACAAAAGCGCAUGUGCUGUGAGCUCGAUGAGUAGGGCGGGACACGUGGUAUCCUGUCUGAAUAUGGGGGGACCAUCCUCCAAGGCUAAAUACUCCUGACUGACCGAUAGUGAACCAGUACCGUGAGGGAAAGGCGAAAAGAACCCCGGCGAGGGGAGUGAAAAAGAACCUGAAACCGUGUACGUACAAGCAGUGGGAGCACAGGUUUACCUGUGUGACUGCGUACCUUUUGUAUAAUGGGUCAGCGACUUAUAUUCUGUAGCAAGGUUAACCGUAUAGGGGAGCCGUAGGGAAACCGAGUCUUAACCGGGCGUUAAGUUGCAGGGUAUAGACCCGAAACCCGGUGAUCUAGCCAUGGGCAGGUUGAAGGUUGGGUAACACUAACUGGAGGACCGAACCGACUAAUGUUGAAAAAUUAGCGGAUGACCUGUGGCUGGGGGUGAAAGGCCAAUCAAACCGGGAGAUAGCUGGUUCUCCCCGAAAGCUAUUUAGGUAGCGCCUCGUGAAUUCAUCUCCGGGGGUAGAGCACUGUUUCGGCUAGGGGGCCAUCCCGGCUUACCAACCCGAUGCAAACUGCGAAUACCGGAGAAUGUUAUCACGGGAGACACACGGCGGGUGCUAACGUCCGUCGUGAAGAGGGAAACAACCCAGACCGCCAGCUAAGGUCCCAAAGUCAUGGUUAAGUGGGAAACGAUGUGGGAAGGCCCAGACAGCCAGGAUGUUGGCUUAGAAGCAGCCAUCAUUUAAAGAAAGCGUAAUAGCUCACUGGUCGAGUCGGCCUGCGCGGAAGAUGUAACGGGGCUAAACCAUGCACCGAAGCUGCGGCAGCGAACGUAUCACCCAAGACAACUUUACGGAGUUGACGAUUGACGGAGCGAAGCGACGUCAAAGCGUUCAUUAAAGUCGAGUUGGCUUAGGGAUACGUUCGUUGGGUAGGGGAGCGUUCUGUAAGCCUGUGAAGGUGUGUCGUGAGGCAUGCUGGAGGUAUCAGAAGUGCGAAUGCUGACAUAAGUAACGAUAAAGCGGGUGAAAAGCCCGCUCGCCGGAAGACCAAGGGUUCCUGUCCAACGUUAAUCGGGGCAGGGUGAGUCGACCCCUAAGGCGAGGCCGAAAGGCGUAGUCGAUGGGAAACGGGUUAAUAUUCCCGUACUUGGUGUUACUGCGAAGGGGGGACGGAGAAGGCUAUGUUGGCCGGGCGACGGUUGUCCCGGUUUAAGCGUGUAGGUGUGUGUUCCAGGUAAAUCCGGUUCACUUUAACACUGAGGCGUGACGACGAGGCACUACGGUGCUGAAGCAACAAAUGCCCUGCUUCCAGGAAAAGCCUCUAAGCAUCAGGUAACACGAAAUCGUACCCCAAACCGACACAGGUGGUCAGGUAGAGAAUACCAAGGCGCUUGAGAGAACUCGGGUGAAGGAACUAGGCAAAAUGGUGCCGUAACUUCGGGAGAAGGCACGCUGACACGUAGGUGAAGUGAUUUACUCAUGGAGCUGAAGUCAGUCGAAGAUACCAGCUGGCUGCAACUGUUUAUUAAAAACACAGCACUGUGCAAACACGAAAGUGGACGUAUACGGUGUGACGCCUGCCCGGUGCCGGAA
rnacentral:rRNA from 1 species